AAUCAUAGCAAUCAUGGAGCAAGAAAUCAAAGUGGUUUAAGAAUUUUAAUCAAUUUUUGAAAUGUAAACAUCCGGAAAACGCAUAGGAGAAGAAGUACUUGAACAAACCUGUUUAACCAUCCUAUCCUUUUACCAAGUUCUUACCGUGGAGCUCUCAUGGAACAAAAAGACUGAUGGAGGACGGUAGUGAAAAAAGUACCAAACGACGACGCCGAAGUAGCGAUUCUUGGUGGGUUUCAUUUCCUCGCCUUGUCGUAAGUAUCAACUGAAUGGAAGAAAUUUGUGCGAAUAUUUUCGCCUGAAUCAGAGUCGUUUAGCCCAAAUAGUUGUAUUUAUAGUCGUAGUCG